GGGCGGGGGAGCCCUCGGGGACUUCGAGGCCGAGGUAGAGCAAGACGGCGACGGCGAAGAAAGAAAAGGCCAUGAGGAGGAGGAGGAACAGGAACCAAUUCUGCUGCCAGAAGGGGAGGUCUUCGGGAUCGAAGGAAGCAGGCGGCGGUGGCGGCGGGGCAGAGGAGGCGGAGGACGGGAUCCUGCGGCGGGAGAGGCCCUGAUGCCCCGACGGAGCCACGGCUGCUCGC
rnacentral:lncRNA from 1 species